AUAAGGGGAGUCUUUGACUACGAGGUCGCACUCGUCUAUUUUUUGUUAUGUAUUUUGCAUGUUGGUCCUGCUUUCACACAUUUCUAAUAUUUUUGCAGGAAAAUCAUCCCCGACUAUAGUCGGGGAUGGUGAUAAUAAUGUAUAGUUUUUGGGAAUCAUUAGGAGUAUACACAGUUUGAAGAGACAUCCAAAAAAGAAUACAACAAGUGGUUACCGUAGAAAUUUGGAAGCCACAUUCAACAGACAAUGCAAAGAUUGACAAUUAAGAGGAUGCAAAACAUAUUGGUACAAAAAGUCAAAAAACACUUCCUGACUAUUGAUUUCAGUGACACUAGACCUAAGGGGAAUUGCUCUGAGUUUGUCUGAAUCUUUAAAUUAUUUUUAUGUCAUAUCUGAACAAAUUAUGCGAACCUAAUUAUCAUCUCGAUGAAAUAUGUAGGAAACCCUUCUUAGGCUCGGUAUCCAUUUUUUUAAAUUUUAAAAAUAAAAAGUAAUAGUUCGUGCAUAUUUUC
rnacentral:lncRNA from 1 species